GACGAACGCUGGCGGCGUGCUUAACACAUGCAAGUCGAACGGAAAGGCCCUGCUUUUGUGGGGUGCUCGAGUGGCGAACGGGUGAGUAACACGUGAGUAACCUGCCCUUGACUUUGGGAUAACUUCAGGAAACUGGGGCUAAUACCGGAUAGGAGCUCCUGCUGCAUGGUGGGGGUUGGAAAGUUUAGGCGGUUGGGGAUGGACUCGCGGCUUAUCAGCUUGUUGGUGGGGUAGUGGCUUACCAAGGCUUUGACGGGUAGCCGGCCUGAGAGGGUGACCGGCCACAUUACGACUGAGAUACGGCCCAGACUCGUACGGGAGGCAACGGUGGAGAGUAUUGCACAAUGGGCGGAAGCCUGAUGCAGCAACGCCGCGUGCGGGAUGACGGCCUGCCGGUUGUAAACCGCUUUCGCCUGUGACGAAGCGUGAAUGACGGUAAUGGGUAAAGAAGCACCGGCUAACUACGUG
rnacentral:rRNA from 1 species